rnacentral:lncRNA from 1 species
GGCGGCAGGGUCAGAGAGGCCAGGGGUGUGGUUCAUGCUAGAUCCGAGACGGGAUCAAGGCUUCGAGACCCAGCGAGGCGCAUGCACAGGUGCUGAUGCGGCUGAGGGGCUGCCAGCGGCCCGGCUGUGUCUCAUCCGAGACGACACGGAUACGGGCACGCACACAGGUGAGUGAGAAGCACUGCGUGACGAGCCCAUGAUACACACUGCACACGCAUGAGACAUCCAUGAGAGCUCUGCGCAUCAUGCCAACCAUUAACACGAACCCAUCCGCAGCCCAGGACCCGCCAACCAACCGCCAACCAAACCCACACCAACACUCCGCUGCCCCGGACACAAGUAAGUACCCCUUCACCCCAACGCAUCCCCCCGCACCCCAGCCACCUGGCGAAUGAGGUCGGCCCUCAGUGACUCGGCGCCACUCAUGCCGUAGCUGGCCACGUGGAAGAUGCUGUGCACGGCGGCGGCAGUAGCAGCAGGCGCAGAGGCGGCUGUAGCUGCAGCGGCUGUAGCAGGCGC